UAAUACGUAGGAGGCGAGCGUUAUCCGGAUUUACUGGGCGUAAAGAGGGCGUAGGCGGCUUUUCAAGUCGGGUGUGAAAUCUCCCUGCUUAACGGGGAGGGGUCGUUCGAUACUGUUGGGCUAGAGUGCAGCAGGGGGAGAUGGAAUUCCCGGUGUAGUGGUGAAAUGCGUAGAUAUCGGGAGGAACACCAGUGGCGAAAGCGGCCUCCUGGGCUGUUUCUGACGCUGUAGCCCGAAAGCGUGGGAAGCAAACAGGAUUAGAUACCCUGGUAGUCCACGCUAUAAACUAUGGACACUAGGUAUAGGGAGUAUCGACCCUCUCUGUGCCGAAGCUAACGCGUUAAGUGUCCCGUCUGGGGAGUACGGUCGCAAGACUA
rnacentral:rRNA from 1 species